rnacentral:sRNA from 1 species
UCACAUGCUGGGCCCCAGGGACUCAGGCCUUCCUUUUCUUCUCCCAGGCUUGGGACAGAUGGGCCCAGGCUCUCCAUCCUUCCCCCAGGUUAUCAGCAAUCGAAGGCAUACAUCGGGCCAUGAUGGGAUGCACAAAUGAACAGGCUUGGCUGACUGCCAACGUCUGAGAGCGGCCUUCAGCCCUGCAGACUAUUAAAAGGGGCAGCUCUGCAGGUCUGACAGGAGGAAGGGGGAGCAGAGGGAGGCAGGGCAGCAUGGAAAAGCGGGGAGUCCUGAUGUAAUAAUCCGCUUGGAAGCAAAGCCUCCAGUGUCCCUUAAUCCAACCUGUAUCUGAGAUGGAGAAUGGCGGGCAGGCUGGCCGGCUUCUAGCUAAUGCCUGUUAGGGUAGACCGGCUGGGGACGGUGACAGCCAGUGAGUGACCCUGGUAUCCCCUCUUUCAGCUGCUAUUCUAGAGUUUUCUACCACCUCCCCGAGAGUCUGAGACACCUCCACACCCUCUCACAGCAGGUCAGGCUCCCCACUCACACACGUCCUCAGAUGUAUAGAUGCUGCCAAGAAGGAAGAAAAGCCACUGGGAUCAGGAUCCUCUCUUCGCUGAAAGGAAAGAGGUUCUGAAGGUGAUCUCAGAACCCAAACAUUCCGCAGGGCCACACUGUCCCCUCAUCAAGCCUCCCUUAGGAGGACCGGGGUCCUACCUAGCCAGAUGCCCAGGGCCCGAGGCCUUCCCUGAGAAGCAAUCUCUACCUUUUAUAAGGGUCUGCUUUGCUUCGCAAAUCGUUGCACACGCAUUUCGAGAGCAUGCGAUGCUAUGGUGACCAGAAGACAAGUAUGCAGUUAAGGAAGACUCAAGUGGGCAGCUGGUCCCAGACAAGGGUGACUGAGGGGAGCGACAUGAGGUAGACGGCUGAAAGAGCAGAUCCCUGAAUUAUCCUGCACGCCAGGGGCAACAACUAGCAAUAGAGCUCUGAGUUCAGAAGCACCCCCAGGUUGGACCCAGAAGCGCCGACGGAAACGGCGGAAACCAGCGAACCUCAACAUCUGGGUUCCUGUGCUGCUGUUGUAGAAAAAUAAACGUAGAAAAGAAGCUCCCGCAGCUUGGCGCGCGCCUAGGUUCUGGUUGGUGGGAGGAGUCUGAUUAGCCGGAUGCUUCUCCGCUAGGACAGCUGCCCUAACUCGGGCUUUAACUUAAUCACACGAGGCGGCGGCGGCCCGAUCCAAUUUAGUUAGAGCCAGAGGGCCCGGUGUGAGAGUCCCCAGGGAGUGUGUACGGGGUGGGGGCUUCCUCUUCCAGGCAUCAAGUCUCUCGGGGGAAGUCAUUUUAGCAGCGCUAAUCAAUUAGCCUGGGAGGCUGAGCUGCUUAUUCCAAGGGGGGAGGGGGCGGGGAGGGCAGUCUUGCUUGCUUCUAACAGCUGAGACCGUUGGCCUUCCUCCCCUCUGCCUGGUUAUAGCUGGGAGGCCAUGGGUGUUGGGGGCCAUCCAGGGACAGCGGCUCAGACGAAAGGGAGGACUCGGGAGCAGCCAUGCGGCUGGGCACAGGGCUUAGCCUAUGUGAGAGUGUCCUGAGUUAGGAAUGAUGGCCUGUAGGUGUGCCUGCUUUUUCUGCACCCGGUUUUAACCUCCCUUCUGCAUGCUCCAGUCAACAGAAGGACUUUGGUAGCCACACCGACAGGGAUAGACAGACUGGUGGGCCACAGCUGCUGUUAACUCCUCACUCCAUGAUCCAGGAGUGGAGAGCAAGGAAGGGCCUGGCUGCCCAGGGGCUGACAUCCCCACGUGCCUCUGCAGCACCAGGGGCUAAACCAAUAGAAACCUCUGGCCUGUUCUCCUCUAGAGGGCCUGGGGACUUUCUGGGCCCCGCAGCUGUUGACCCCCACAGCCUCCUAACCACGCUUCUGAAACCCCUGCUGCCCAUGGAUCCGGCCAGCCAGUGGCUAAAGAUGCAGCCGGGUUUGCUUUAAAAUUAAAAAAAAAAAAAAAAAAG